rnacentral:tRNA from 1 species
AGCUCCGUGGUCCAACUGAACAGGGCGCCCGGCUUCGAACCGGGAGAGUGAGGGUUUGCAUCCCUCCGGAGCUU